rnacentral:rRNA from 1 species
AUGUCCACAGCUAACUUCAUGACGGCACCUACCAAAGGUUUCAUGGGCACCUACUCAUUCAACACCAAGGAUUCUGUGUGGAGAUGGCAUGGGGAGUGGGCCUUGCCAUUCAGCGGCCAAGCACACUUUGACAGCGAGCUCAACGCUUGGGUUGGCCUUCAUCGGGAUGGCUACAUCUCUGCUUGCCAAGUUGCCUCCCCCAGCUGCCACAACACAACUCCAACAUUGCAGCUGGACUGCCAGACAACCAAGGAGAAGUGGUUCUGCAAGGACCCGAAGCCGCACAUGGGAGCCUCUCUCACCUACAUGGGCACGAGCAAGUUCUGCCUCGUCGAGUGCGUGAAACGGGAGGGAGUGGAGGAGGAACAGGCUCUCGGAGACCAUGAUGGUUGUGUGCUCCAUAUCACCAUAUUUGGGCUCAAGUACAAUCACAAGGGAGAGCUGCGGAUCACAGAUCACCGCUCAACGCGCUCCUUCAUAGUGUCUAGUCAUAAAGAUCAUUUUGGUCCUGUAGCAUUUUGGAUGUAG